rnacentral:rRNA from 1 species
CUGCGAAUGGCUCAUUAAAUCAGUUAUCGUUUAUUUGAUAGUACCUUACUACUUGGAUAACCGUGGUAAUUCUAGAGCUAAUACAUGCUGAAAACCCCGACUUCGGGAGGGGUGUAUUUAUUAGAUAAAAAACCAAUGCCCUUCGGGGCUCCUUGGUGAUUCAUGAUAACUUCUCAGAUCGCAUGGCCUUGCGCCGGCGACGGUUCAUUCAAAUUUCUGCCCUAUCAACUUUCGAUGGUAAGGUAUUGGCUUACCAUGGUUUCAACGGGUAACGGGGAAUUAGGGUUCGAUUCCGGAGAAGGGGCCUGAGAGACGGCCACUACAUCCAAGGAAGGCAGCAGGCGCGCAAAUUACCCAAUCCCGACACGGGGAGGUAGUGACAAUAAAUACUGAUACAGGGCUCUUUUGGGUCUUGUAAUUGGAAUGAGUACAAUUUAAACCUCUUAACGAGGAACAAUUGGAGGGCAAGUCUGGUGCCAGCAGCCGCGGUAAUUCCAGCUCCAAUAGCGUAUAUUAAAGUUGUUGCAGUUAAAAAGCUCGUAGUUGAACCUUUGGCCUGGCUGGCAGGUCCGCCUCACCGCGUGUACUUGUCCGGCCGGGCCUUUUCUUCUGGAGAACCGCAUGCCCUUCACUGGGUGUGUUGGGGACCAGGACUUUUACUUUGAAAAAAUUAGAGUGUUCAAAGCAGGCCUUUGCUCGAAUACGUUAGCAUGGAAUAAUAGAAUAGGACGUGCGGUUCUAUUUUGUUGGUUUCUAGGACCGCCGUAAUGAUUAAUAGGGACAGUCGGGGGCAUCAGUAUUCAAUUGUCAGAGGUGAAAUUCUUGGAUUUAUUGAAGACUAACUACUGCGAAAGCAUUUGCCAAGGAUGUUUUCAUUAAUCAGUGAACGAAAGUUAGGGGAUCGAAGACGAUCAGAUACCGUCGUAGUCUUACCAUAAACUAUGCCGACUAGGGAUCGGG